rnacentral:rRNA from 1 species
CACGUAGGGCGCAAGCGUUGUCCGGAAUUAUUGGGCGUAAAGAGCUCGUAGGCGGUCUGCCACGUCCGCUGUGAAAACUCGAGGCUCAACCUCGAGACGCCGGUGGAAACCAUCAGACUAGAGUCCGGAAGAGGAGAGUGGAAUUCCUGGUGUAGCGGUGAAAUGCGCAGAUAUCAGGAGGAACACCGGUGGCGAAGGCGGGUCUCUGGGCCGAUACUGACGCUGAGGAGCGAAAGCGUGGGGAGCGAACAGG